UACGGGGGGAGCAAGCGUUGUUCGGAUUUACUGGGCGUAAAGGGCGCGUAGGCGGUCAGCACAAGUCAGUUGUGAAAUCUCCGGGCUUAACUCGGAAAGGUCAACUGAUACUGUGCGACUAGAGUGCAGAAGGGGCAACUGGAAUUCUCGGUGUAGCGGUGAAAUGCGUAGAUAUCUGGAGGAACACCGGUGGCGAAGGCGGCAUCCUGGACCGACACUGACACUGAGGAGCGAAAGCCAGGGGAGCAAACGGG
rnacentral:rRNA from 1 species